UCUCGCAUUCUCUCUCGCUCGCUCUGCCCCCCUCGCUCAUCCACCCUCACCCCCCUCUUUUCUCUGGUCCUUCCUCGCCUCCGGAGGUCAGGUCAUUGCACUGUCCACCAGUUAGUUUUCGAUCCUGCAGCAAAGGUCUAUAUGGUUCUUCAUGGUCUAGAUUUUCACUUUUGGGCGUCGACGGGAAAUGGAGGAAAUUGAAUGGUAGUCGCUCUGAUUUUGGUGCUACCAGUUACGCAAAGGCAUUGGAGUACCCACUGGUCAAUGGCGUCGUUCACUGGGCACGGAAUUGCGGUGGGUGUGGGUUCCCUUAUGCUGGUUGCCCAAUUACUCGAAGAACUAUAGUCUCCUUUAACGUGGGUAGCGAGGAAUUCCAGAUAUUCUCACACCCUAAUUGCUGUCCUGCUGUUUAUCCUGCGACUUAUCGCCCGUGAAUGUCAUCUAGAGUCUGCUCCCUUGGUUGAAAUCAACAGAUUUAUGCAUCUAAUGCAUUCAGAUGCCACCAAGCAAACUAUGGAUGGAUGGGUGCUCAAGGAUUGUGAUGGUUAGGACCAAUCUUGCGAGCACAAGCUACCUGUUCUGUAAUCCAACACGGAGAACAUUUCAAACGUUGCAAAAUAUCCAGGGAGGACUUUAUUAUCACUCCCUAAUGGGUUCCUAUGUAGAGAGCCUUGUUUCCUGCAACUUUGCAAGGCUCGUAGAUUGAGUUGAAGAGAUGGGCGCCAGACAGGUGCUGCACAGGGAGGCUGGAUCAAAUGAGAUGGUAGAGAGAUAUGAAUAUAGAAGGCAAACUGUUUUUUAACAGGGGAAACAUGCUGUUUUCAAUCUACAAAGUAAGGCCAGACAAGUUUAAUUGUCAAAAUCUUGUAUCUAUUAUAAAAUUGUAGGGGUGCAUGCAUAUGGGUUUUCAAACACAACCAUAGAAACCAUAAAUUUUAAAUCUAAAAGUAAUCAAAUGCCCCAAGGAAAAGAGAUAUAGAACUAAAAGAAAAUGAUGCAGUAAAAGGAUCAAAUGCACCACCGGCACCAAUCCACCACGUAGCUGCAAGCAAAGGGAAAUCGAAAGAGAGAAAAAAAAAAGUUUCCCUUAAAAUUUGUAAAAAAUAUAUAUAAAAAAGUUUCCCUUAAAAUAUCUAUGCGCUCCCUUAAAAUUAACAAAAGAAAAAGAA